GACGAACGCUGGCGGCGUGCCUAAUACAUGCAAGUCGAACGCAGUGGGGACGGGUGAGUAACACGUGGGUAACCUCCCAUCAGAGGGGAUAACACUUGGAAACAGGUGCUAAACCGAUACUGAUGGAUGGACUAGCGGUGCAUUAGCUAGUUGGUGGGGUAACGGCUCACCAAGGCCACGAUGCAUAGCCGGCCUGAGAGGGUGAUCGGCCACACUGGGACUGAGACACGGUCCAGACUCCUACGGGAGGCAGCAGUAGGGAAUCUUGGGCAAUGGGCGAAAGCCUGACCGAGCAACGCCGCGUGAGUGAAGAAGGUUUUCGGAUCGUAAAGUUCUGUUGUUAGAGAGGCGUUAUCCAACCAGAAAGCCACGGCUAACUACGUGCCAGCAGCCGCGGUAAUUC
rnacentral:rRNA from 1 species